rnacentral:rRNA from 1 species
AUUGAACGCUGGCGGCAGGCCUAACACAUGCACGUCGAACGAGUGGCGGAAGGGUGAGUAAUGUAUGGGAAACUGCCCGCUGGAGGGGGAUAACUACAGGAAACGGUAGCUAAUACCGCAUACCAUCGGAUGUGCCCAGCGGGGAAUAGCUAGUAGGUGGGGUAACGGCUCACCUAGGCGACGAUCCCUAGCUGGUCUGAGAGGACGACCAGCAACACUGGAACUGAGACACGUGCCAGACUCCUACGGGAGGCAGCAGUGGGGAAUAUUGCACAAUGGGCGCAAGCCUGAUGCAGCCAUGCCGCGUGUAUGAAGAAGGCCUUCGGGUUGUAAAGUACUUUCAGCGAGGAGGCGUUACUCGCAGAAGAAGCACCGGCUAACUCCGUGCCAGCAGCCGCGGUAAUUC